rnacentral:rRNA from 1 species
GACUGUUUACCAAAAACAUAGCCCUAGAAAAAAUCUAAGGUGUAACCUGCCCAGUGACUUUUAUAUUAGAAUUAAUAAUUCUUAAAUAAAGUUAAAAGGACGCGGUAACCUUGACCGUGGUAAUGUAGCAUAAUCACUCGCCAUUUAAUUGAUGGAUAGUAUGAAUGGUUGAACGAAUAUUCCACUGUCUUAGAAAGAAUUAAUAAAAAUUGAAAUAAUAGUUAAGAUGCUAUUUUAUACUGUAAGACGAAAAGACCCUAUAGAGCUUAACUAUACUCUUUCUCUAUAAAAAAGAUAAUAAUCUUAAAUUGAGAAAGACUGGUAGUUUAGUUGGGGCGACUGCUUUCUAAAAUUAACGAAAGUAAGCAAUGUUAGUAAUAAACUUAUUGUUUAAUUAAUAUAUUUAACAAUUACUAUAGUAGGCUUCAGUGACCCGUUUUCACUACAUAAUAAGGAAAACGAUCAAUAAAUAAAAGCUACCUUAGGGAUAACAGGAUAAUUUCAUUUUAGAGUCCC